rfam:Virgibacillus soli strain PL205 scaffold000001, whole genome shotgun sequence.
GAUUGAGGAUCUUCGACUAAAUGCCGACACGUCCUGUGUCGAACGUCGAAGUCACCCCGACACGUCCUGUGUC